rnacentral:rRNA from 2 species
UUCCUACGGGAGGCAGCAGUGGGGAAUAUUGGGCAAUGGGCGAAAGCCUGACCCAGCAACGCCGCGUGAAGGAAGAAGGUUUUCGGAUCGUAAACUUCUAUCCCAGAUGAAGAUAAUGACGGUAAUCUGGAAGGAAGCCCCGGCUAACUACGUGCCAGCAGCCGCGGUAAUACGUAGGGGGCAAGCGUUGUCCGGAAUGAUUGGGCGUAAAGGGCGCGUAGGCGGCCUUCUAAGUCCGAUGUGAAAGUCCUGCUUUUAAGGUGGGAAUUGCAUUGGAAACUGGAGGGCUUGAGUGCAGGAGAGGUAAGUGGAAUUCCCGGUGUAGCGGUGAAAUGCGUAGAGAUCGGGAGGAACACCAGUGGCGAAGGCGACUUACUGGACUGUAACUGACGCUGAGGCGCGAAAGUGUGGGGAGCAAACAGGAUUAGAUACCCCUGUAGUC